rnacentral:misc_RNA from 1 species
AGAAUACUCAUCAGCUAACCAUUUUAUAUCAUCAUCAUCAGUUUCAGAUCUCAGUAUUUUCCAUCACAGCCAUGGCAGAGAAGGUUUGUAAGUGGGUCUUAUUGCUAUCUUAUUGCUAUUUUAUCUCUUUAUCAUAAUCUCUUUCUACCCACUAUUAUUUUUCUUAUUUUUUGUGGUGGUGGGUUUUUCUUGUUGAUUAAUUGGAUAUCUAUCUGCUUUCAAUUUCAUCCUUGUAUGCAAAACAUGUUUCAAUCAUUCAAAUUGCCUUUUGGCUUUAUCCAUGUGGAUAAUGGGAAGUAAGCUGUAAAGUAAAUUAUGUUCAUGUACUGUUGCAGAAAGUUACAGUAAUGGUGAUUA